GCUAGGGCAGGGCAAAUGGCGGAGCUCCGGCAGAGCGUCCAGCCGCGAUGGGUGAUCGUCUCCUCUGCUCGCGGCAAUCGGCCACAUGAUGUUUCCUCCGAUCACAGCGGCAGCGAUGGCGGUAAUCACAGUGGCGGCAAUCACAGUUGCCCGUUUUGCAGGAAUCACGAGCACGAGACAGGGGACGAGACGUUUGCGUUCCGGGAGAGCGACGUGGUGAGCGCGCCGGAUUGGAGCGUCCGCGUCGUCUACAACAAAUUCCCUGCUGUGGAUUCUUCGCUGUCGCCGACGUGCACGAUCGAUGAGGAUUGUCAUCGUAGCCGGCGCUCUGGAUUUGGAUCGCAUGAGGUGGUCGUGGAGACGCCGGAGCAUGGAAUCCAAUUCGCGGAGCUUCCGAUCGACCAGGUAGAGCGAGUGCUCAAGGCGUUCCGGCACCGGCUCAAGGAUCUCAGGAAUGACAAGCGAUUCCAAUGCGUCCAGGUUUUCAAGAACAAUGGCAAAGAAGCUGGUGCGUCGCUGCGUCACUCCCAUAGCCAAAUCAUCGCAUUGCCUAUGGUACCUCAAGAACUAAUGUGGCAAGUUAAAAACUCCAAAGAGUUCUUCGAACGUAAGGGACGCUGUCUCCUUUGCGAGUCCGUGAAAGCCGAUCUUCGAGAUCGCUCAAGGUUGAUCGAUCAGUCAUCAGGCUUCGUUUCAGUGGCGCCCUUUGAAGCUCGCUUCCCGUUCGAGACGUGGAUUAUUCCCAUCAACCAUAGUUCCAACUUUGAGGAGACGAGUGAUUCCGAGAUCGGGGAUUUGGCGAGAUUACUUCAUCUAACAUUGAAAAAAAUAGUGCAGCAAUUUCCAGGCGCUGCAUACAACUACGUGCUUUACAACAAUCCUUUCUGCGAGGAAACCAACACGGAGUAUUUCCACUGGUACAUUGCAAUCCUCCCUCGACUGGGAGUGCUGGGGGGCUUUGAGCUUGCCACUGGUUGGACCAUCAACACGGUGGCUCCUGAGAAAGCCGCUCAAACUUUGAGGGAGUGCGUCCUCAAAUGAUCUGGCGCGCAUUUUUCUUAUCAUUCAAGCUUAUGCUUGACAAUUUUUCUCUUGUCAAAAAGUUUUCAUUUACGGAUUGCAAGAGAGAUUCUUACAGGUACGUGACUUUCAUGCUCACUGUGCUGGUGAGUUCUAGCAUUUUCGCAUUGAAUAAUGAAGAGCUUGCUCGCUUGCUCUCUCCGAUCGUUCCUUCUCUGGAGCUUUGCUUUUAUGGUUUCUCACAAUCCUCGUGUACAUGGUUUUAUAUUUGUAAAACUUGCAGGGACAAGCUUACAAUGACAAUGGGCGAUUCUAUGAACUAUCUGGGAACGAACGAGAACGAAAGCCACCAUAGCUGAGUCCUCGUGUUGGUAGCGACAUGAGAAUCCAUCCAUGGUUUUCAUAAAAGAUCAUUAAAUUGGCACAACGAUGUGUGCGUUUUGUCGCGUGGAUGGAGAGGGGAAAAAUGGCCGUUGGAGGGACAGCCGUGCACGAACGGACAGGAUGACUUGCGGCACUGCGACCAUUGGAUUAAUUUGGUGAUUACCCCUUAAUUCCAGACGCUGCUUAGGACAGAGUUAAUGUGAACGAAUUUACCGUUU